CUGGCGUCAAGGAGGCUAGGCUGGAACCUGCAGAUGGAGCCCCAGCAUGCCCCAUCUGGCGUCAUCUGGACUGGAACCUGGAGCUGGAUGGAGGCCUUGAGUUCUCAGAAAGCAGAUUCCCAAGUCCUUGGAAAUGAGCAGAGAGGAGUACAGAGGCCUGAGGUAAAUGAGCACGAAUCCUUGACCGCUGUCUGUUGGGAGUCUCCCAGCCUCCCCUCUCCCAUGACCUCACUUGGGUGUGUCUCCCUCUGCAUCCUCUGGACUGAGACCAGCUACAGGCUUCAUCUUGAUCUGGAGAGCUUCAGGCACAGGUGGAAUUGAAUCAGAAGACACAGAAAGAUCAACAGUGAGAAAAAUGAAACAGUUGGCGUGCCAUCUUCAAUGCCCAGAAUCAUCAAAUACAGGGAAUAAACCUAAUGAAGGCGGCACAGGACAUGAAUGGCGGAAACUACAGAGCACCAAGGAGAAAUGAAAGACAGAAAUAAACCAAGGCCAGUUCUGUGUUCAUUGAUCAGUAAAUUUGACAUUGUUAAGUCAUCACGUUGCCUGGAUUGGUCCAAGCCACAGCCACUCAAGUAUUUACAAGGAAGCUCGUCUGCUGACUGCAAGUCUAACACGGCUCUUUGAAGAACCUACAAGAUACAAGAUGAUUCCAAAAGAAAACAAAGCCCAGAGGACUUUGCCUACUCAAUUCCAGGAGUUUUUAUAAGUCCAUGGUAAUAACAGCACAGGCAGAGCCAACUGGACCUGCAGACCAGGACAGGAGGUUCAAAACCAACCCAUAUAUAGUCAGUCCUCUGGUUUACAGUGAAGGUACUCUAUACUUCAGGCGAGAAGGGUGUUCUCUGAAAUUUUAUCAACCAGUGGUGAAUAAAUCCACACAGAGGGAAAACCAUCAGACCACAAAUGAAUACUGAUUUAAGAUGGCUGUAGACUUGAGGAAAAACUCUAACUCGUCUAGAAACAAAACAAAACAAAACAAAACCAUGUUCUUGACCUUGAUGUAGACAAGAAUUUCUUUAAUUAAAAUAUUG